CUUGAGCGAGCCGAGCAGCAGGGGGUGUUCCCGGUCCUGGCCGUAGGUGGCGAGAAUGGCGUGCGCCUC
rnacentral:antisense_RNA from 1 species